ensembl:lncRNA
CUCACCCAAAUGCUGUUCCUUGGCUACACCCCUUUAGCUUGCUAUCACGUUGUACUUCAGUAGAGACCAUGUAGCGCAUCGUUUUGCCUCUGCUUGAAAAGAAAAGCGUGUGGCACUUUGCUUUGGCAGGCCAGGCUGGGCAUCGUCUUGGCCUCUGACAGAUGGGAAGGGGUGUUUUACAAACGAGUCCAAUGCAAUGCCUGAAGGUGGGUGUUCAUUAAUAAACCUUGUGCCCUACAACUGAAAAAACACUUUGAGACAGCAUUAUUCACACAGAGUUACUCUAUAACGAUUUCCCUUUAGAUGAACACCAUCACUUAUUCCACUAUAAUGUAGAUAAUUGAGUAAAGACCGUGCCAAGCCUAUCUCCAGGAGGUUUGUAUAGUUUUGUAACACUGUCUCCUAUGUUGUGCACGUUGUGCCCCCCUGGCUUUCCUUUGCCAGCGCCUCAAACAGAAAAACAAAGAUGGAUUUCGGUCCCAAUGGAUUUGCUAUUAUGAAUGAAGGUCAGAUUGUUCUUACGGCUGCUUUGUGCUGCUGAAAAAUACAGCGCGGGUUGUUUUGAGAGCACCUAAUUCUGAAAUCCAUCUUGCUGAAGUGACUGCUGGUAGAGGUGACCUGCAAGAGAGACAAGCCUUCCCUUUUGCAGCUUCACAAUGGAAUGAAAGCCGUCGGCUGUACGUGAGCUUGGUCUGCCUGUUGGCUGCCCCAGAAGAUGGAGCCUUGCCUUUGGAGGAGCGCUGUGCACCAAGCUGUGCAGUGAGACAGCGGAGCCAGGAGAGAGCAAGAAAGGGAAACGGGCACUUUUAGUUACACCUUGAACAUUUCUGCUUGCAACCUUAAAAUAUAUUUGACUUAAAUGAGCAACUUUUGGCACAGAGGAAAUUCGUCCUAAUGAUUCCAGCAGCCUUUCAUCUGUAAGGUGGCAAAAGCUCAAAGAACACGUUUCUGACCUCCCAAAAGUUCUUCAAGAAAAACAGGAAAGACCAAACUCUACAGCUUGAAUGUCUGGAAAGGACCCAGCUCCCUGUAUGCCUUACGGCAGCGAGAGGUCACGGCUCCAAUGCUGCUUGGAAGACGCCUUCCAGAAAGUCACGUUUAUGAAGUGGACACCGAGGACUGGCGCUGCGAUGUUCAGUGAGUGCGUUUGCUAUGGAGAGUAAAAAUAAGACCUAAGAAAUGUGUAUGAACACAUUGCACCCGCCCCGUUGCUCUUGAAAGCAAAACGUAAGAAGGAAAUGGGACCGAUGCCAACCUGUGCUCCUGGAGAACGGGGCUGGGAGAGGUGGGAGCAUCGCCCUGCUGACCCAGAGAGGAGGGCAGCAGAACUUCUUUGCUUCUUUCAUGUUGCCUGCAAACUGCUGGCUGCCACAAUGGAGCGAGCUCCCGCUUGUGCCCAUUUGGGGCAUCUUUCCCCCACUCGUAGCAUCGGGCAGCAAGAAGCAAAAAUGCAAGGGGUGCAUGAAAUCUAAGAUGUACGUGGUGAUGAUUCCUAGGAGAGACAACUUGUAAAAUGAGGGCUAGCAAAUGAUCAAACAAUGGUGACUCAUGUUUUAUGAUCAGACCUGACUGUAGCAGUGUCUAUGGGCAUUUCAGUUUGUUGACACGUUUGUAGCAAUACUUUCUCAUGAGGAUGAUUCCACAAACAGGCAUUAUGUCUGAAAAACUGAUACAGGUAAAUGCAGGUGAGGAUUCAUCAAAGUCAGAACUCUGGAAUGAAAGCAGCUUUAAGCACAGAUUUGGAGCAUGGAAAGGUUUGGUUUUGUGCUAUAAACCACUAAUGGCAAAGGGCUGGUGGCUGUCUGCCCCCAGGGUGAGCAAGCAGGGCUGCAGUGUGUGCACUGCGCAGCCGUCUGGUGAGUUGGACACUGCCCCCAGUUCUGUGCCAUCCAUGAAUUAAUGAGGGUGCCCUCUGUCCCAUCAUCCAGAUCGUUAAAGAUGUGAAACAGACUGGACCCAGUAAUGGCCCUGGGACACUCUGCUUGUUGCUGCCCUCCCGCCAGACUGCACCACUCACCACUACCCUCUGGGCCCGGCCAUUCAACUCAUUUUCAGUCCACCUUGCUUUCUGCUCAUCCAGCCCAUACUUCAACAGCUUCUCUAAGAGGAUCUUACUGGAGGUGGUGUCAAAGACCAUACUGAAAUCCAGGAAGAAAAUAUUCACUUUCCCCCCCAUCCAGGAAGCCAGUGAUUUCACUAUAGAAGCUUAUCAGGUUGGUCAGGCACAGCUUCCUCUUGGUGAAUCCAUGCUGGCUAUUUCUGAUGCUUUUCUUCUCCUUCAUGUGCCUGGAAAUGGUUUCCAGGAUGAGCUGUUCCAUCACCGCUCCAGGGACUGAGGUGACACUGACCAGCCAGUCAUUCUCCAGGUCCUCCUUUUGCCCUUUUUGAAGACAGGAGUGACACUUGCUUUCCUCCAGCCUUCAGGCACAUCUCCCAGCUGCCAUGAUCGACCAAAGAUUAUAGAGAAUGGCCUCACAGUCACUUAUGGGUGCAUUCUGUCAGAGCCCAUGAACUGGCAGACGUCCAUGGAGAAGAUGAUCCUUGAAUGCUGAACAGCUUUCUUGGGCCUCUCUUCCCUGCAGGGCCUUACUGCACAGGACUACCAAGCAGAUCCUUGGAGAGGCCCAAGUCAGCCCUCCACAGGUUCAGGGCUGUAAGCUGGCAUUUAUCACUUCUCCUUGCCCUCAAGAUCCCAACCUCCUCCAUUUUGUGGUCACAACAGCCAAGAUUGCCUCCAUCCUCCACAUUCCCAAUGAGCCCCUUGUUGCUGGUGGCCACGAGGUCCUCUCCUUGUUGGCUCCUUGGUCACUUGGAGCAGGAAGCUCUAAGAGCACUCCAGGAACCUCCUGGUUUGCUUAUGUCCCAUGUGGACUGGUGGCACCGGUCGGCCACCCUCACCCUCAGCCUUGUCCCUUUGUCCCCUGCUCCUACCUGAGUGCUUGCUGUUUUUCCAUCUGAAUCAUUUAUUGCGGACUUGGAGCACAGCAGAGCUGUGAUUUGCGUCGAAGCCACCAACCUGCAGGAAACAGAAGGGCUCUGAGAAAAGGGAGGCUCCGGUUACAACCUCCCUCUUACUUACUGCUCCUGGCAGCACAGAAGCAGAACUGCCGUGAAUGAGACGGAGCCUUACCCACGUGCAUCCCUGAGACACAAACACAGAGACUGCAAAUCCCGUACUACCGCUCCAUCCCUGCUUACAAAUCCUCCCCAAGGUGCCUUGGCCUUAAGGAGCACAUGUGGCUCUCCUCCUGAAGCCAGCCAACUGCACUGGCCUUGCCUCCUGUUCCUAUUGCACCCACAACCUCUCUGGGCAUCCGUGCCAGCGCCUCACUGCCCUGUGACUAAAGAAUUUCACCCUGACAUCUAACCUAAAUUUCCCCUCUUUUAGCUUAAAGCCAUUCCCCCUUGUCCUAUCACUAUCAGACCAUUUGAAAGCCGGUCCUUCUCCUGCUUGUAAGCUCCCUUCAAGUCCUGGAAGGCCGCUUGUUGGUGUACAGGUAUUUGGAGGACUUUGGUCAAGCAAAACGUAGGGCAGCACUGUGUAAGCAGGGAUGCAUAACAUUGUUCCUGUUGCCUCAGAUGUAUUCUUCUUUAUAAAGAAA